rnacentral:rRNA from 1 species
GUAUUAAAGGCAACGCUGCCCAGUGAAAAUUAAACGGCCGCGGUAUCCUAACCGUGCAAAGGUAGCAUAAUCAUUUGUCUAUUAAUUGUAGACCUGUAUGAAAGGCAAAAUGAGAGCCUGACUGUCUCUUAUAACAAAUCAAUUAAACUGAUCUCUUAGUACAAAAGCUAAGAUACUAACAUAAGACCAGAAGACCCUGUGAAGCUUUAAUUAACCUAUUAAACCUAAUAAUAAUUACUUUCGGUUGGGGCGACCUUGGAAUAAAAAAGAACUUCCAACAUAUGACUUCUCAUAAAAUAAGGCAAACAAGCCAAUAUUAGACCCAGUACUACUGAUAAUUGAAAUAAGUUACUCCAGGGAUAACAGCGCCAUCUUCUUUAAGAAGCCAUAUCAAAAAGAAGGUUUACGACCUCGAUGAAGGAUCAGGACACCCCAGUAAUGCAGCCGUUACUAAAGGUUCGUUUGUUCAACGAUUAAUAGUCCUACGUGAUCUGAG